rnacentral:rRNA from 1 species
AGUGAACGCUGGCGGUAGGCCUAACACAUGCAAGUCGAACGGCAGCACAGUAAGAGCUUGCUCUUACGGGUGGCGAGUGGCGGACGGGUGAGGAAUACAUCGGAAUCUACUUUUUCGUGGGGGAUAACGUAGGGAAACUUACGCUAAUACCGCAUACGACCUACGGGUGAAAGCAGGGGAUCUUCGGACCUUGCGCGAUUGAAUGAGCCGAUGUCGGAUUAGCUAGUUGGCGGGGUAAAGGCCCACCAAGGCGACGAUCCGUAGCUGGUUUGAGAGGAUGAUCAGCCACACUGGAACUGAGACACGGUCCAGACUCCUACGGGAGGCAGCAGUGGGGAAUAUUGGACAAAGGGCGCAAGCCUGAUCCAGCCAUACCGCGUGGGUGAAGAAGGCCUUCGGGUUGUAAAGCCCUUUUGUUGGGAAAGAAAAGCAGCAGGUUAAUACCCCGCUGUUCUGACGGUACCCAAAGAAUAAGCACCGGCUAACUUCGUG